rnacentral:misc_RNA from 1 species
GAGUUUGCAUGUUGUAGCGGCGAUUUACUGCAGUUUAGGGCAGUAUAGUCAGGCGGUGCCUUUGCUUGAGCAAUCGAUCGAAAUUCCGAUUAUCGAAGAUGGCCCAGACCAAGCGCUUGCUAAAUUUUCCGGCUACAUGCAGUUAGGCGAUACUUACGCCAUGUUGGGUCAGCUCGAAAGCUCGAUACGAUGCUAUGCUUCAGGCCUGCAUGUUCAGAUGCAGACACUCGGUG